AACCUACGGGGGGCAGCAGUGGGGAAUAUUGCACAAUGGGGGGAACCCUGAUGCAGCGACGCCGCGUGGGCGAUGGAGUAUUUCGGUAUGUAAAGCCCUAUCGGCAGGGAAGAAGCUGACAGUACCUGACUAAGAAGCCCCGGCUAACUACGUGCCAGCAGCCGCGGGAAUACGUAGGGGGCAAGCGUUAUCCGGAUUUACUGGGGGUAAAGGGAGCGUAGACGGCUGUGCAAGUCUGAAGUGAAAUGCCGGGGCCCAACCCCGGAACUGCUUUGGAAACUGUACAGCUAGAGUGCAGGGGGGGG
rnacentral:rRNA from 1 species